GACGAACGCUGGCGGCGUGCUUAAAACAUGCAAGUCGAACGAAGUGGCGAACGGGUGAGUAACGCGUAGUCAACCUGCCCUUCAGAGGGGGCCACCAGUUGGAAACGACUGCUCAUACCGCAUACUGAAGGAGGGGAUUGCGUCUGAUUAGCUGGUUGGAGGGGUAACGGCCAACCAAGGCGAUGAUCAGUAGCCGGUCUGAGAGGAUGAACGGCCACAGUGGGACGGGGACACGGCCCAGACUCCUAAGGGAGGCAGCAGUGGGGAAGCUUCCGAAAUGGACGAAAGUCUUACGGAGCAACGCCGCGUGAGUGAUGACGGCCUUCGGGUUGUAAAGCUCUGUUAAUCGGGACGCGGUACCGGAAGAGAAAGCCACGGCUAACUACGUGCCAGCAGCCGCGGUAAUAC
rnacentral:rRNA from 1 species